rnacentral:rRNA from 1 species
CUUUCUUUGCUGGCGACCGGCGCACGGGUGAGUAACACGUAUCCAACCUGCCCUUUACUCGGGGAUAGCCUUUCGAAAGAAAGAUUAAUACCCGAUGGGAUAAUUAUUCCGCAUGGUUUGAUUAUUAAAGGAUUCCGGUAAAGGAUGGGGAUGCGUUCCAUUAGGUUGUUGGUGAGGUAACGGCUCACCAAGCCUUCGAUGGAUAGGGGUUCUGAGAGGAAGGUCUCCCACAUUGGAACUGAGACACGGUCCAA